UACGGGGGGGCAAGCGUUGUUCGGAAUUACUGGGCGUAAAGUGCUCGUAGGUGGCCAACUAAGUCAGACGUGAAAUCCCUCGGCUUAACCGGGGAACUGCGUCUGAUACUGGGUGGCUUGAAUCCGGGAGAGGGAUGCGGAAUUCCAGGUGUAGCGGUGAAAUGCGUAGAUAUCUGGAGGAACACCGGUGGCGAAGGCGGCAUCCUGGACCGGUAUUGACGCUGAGGCGCGAAAGCCAGGGGAGCAAACGGG
rnacentral:rRNA from 1 species